rnacentral:lncRNA from 1 species
UGAAAUAGAUAGCCAUGUACUCAAAACACCAUUGAUGCCCCUCGAUGGAGUAGUAGGAUUCAGUGGUGCUAGGCUUGCUCUUUAGGUGAGGUUCUCUUUUGCAGCUUCAGUAAGCUGUAACAGCAUUACUACUUAAAAGUUAAACUUUUCCUCCAUGAUCUAGUAUAUAUGCAAAGGGUAAGUAAUCAUGGAAAUGAGUGUAAUUUAUUGGUAAUGUGAAGGAUGAGGACAUAAAUAUAUAUAUAUAUAUAUAUAUAUAUGACUUGUGAAGCAUACCUUAUUUGAAAAGCCCUUCUAUUGAUGUCAUUCCCUUUGUUAAACACCAUGCUUGACUCCUUCAGAUUCAGAUGCUAGAACUGGAAAACUAUAUAUGAGCUUAUAAUGGUUAAUGCAUUUCCUGGGAACCAGUUGAAGAGGCUGCUAUCAGUGAAAUACCAUUCUCAUAACCUGGCCUGUUCUUCUAGAUGAUCUUUUAGGAAUUAUAUGCCAGCAUAGCGAAGUUCUUUAUGUUACUACUCUUCAGUCCCUUGUCAAAGCUAGUUUGUAACAACCCAUGGCACAAUAUGGUAACAAUUGCUUAGUCGUAUAUAUGUCAUAUUAGGUAGCAUGAGUCAAGUGUUUCCUUUUGAAAUCAUGUUAUUGCUUAUCCAUAUGCUUUUCUGAUAUAAGGUAUCUACUAGGAUUGAUGAUUUAAGACUUAAAAGGUAAAAUCUGAUCCUUGUGACAAAAAAUAUGGAAGGAUCCAUGUCUGAAUUUCUAUUUGUGAAUUUUAACAUGUCUGAAUUUGCUUGUUACUGCAGCAAGUUGAAUUAGUUAAGAUGUGUCAUUAUCAACCAUGGGAAGAUGAUUCAC